UAAGGAAUAUUGGUCAAUGGGCGCAAGCCUGAACCAGCCAUGCCGCGUGCAGGAUGACGGCCCUAUGGGUUGUAAACUGCUUUUAUACGGGAAAAAACUUUCGUACGUGAUGCGAAACUGAUGGUACCGUAAGAAUAAGGAUCGGCUAACUCCGUGCCAGCAGCCGCGGUAAUACGGAGGAUCCAAGCGUUAUCCGGAUUUAUUGGGUUUAAAGGGUGCGUAGGCGGAUUAUUAAGUCAGUGGUGAAAGCCUGCAGCUUAACUGCAGAACUGCCAUUGAUACUGAUGAUCUUGAGUACAGUUGAGGUGGGCGGAAUAUGUCAUGUAGCGGUGAAAUGCUUAGAUAUGACAUAGAACACCAAUUGCGAAGGCAGCUCGCUAAACUGUAACUGACGCUGAGGCACGAAAGCGUGGGGAUCAAACAGG
rnacentral:rRNA from 1 species